rnacentral:rRNA from 1 species
AACGAACGCUGGCGGCAGGCUUAACACAUGCAAGUCGAACGCGCCCUUCGGGGCGAGUGGCAGACGGGUGAGUAACGCGUGGGAACCUACCUUUUGGUACGGAAUAACUCAGGGAAACUUGAGCUAAUACCGUAUAAGCCCUGACUUUUAAUCGGGUCUGGGGAAAGAUUCAUCGCCAAAGGAUGGGCCCGCGUCGGAUUAGCUAGUUGGUGGGGUAAUGGCCUACCAAGGCGACGAUCCGUAGCUGGUCUGAGAGGAGGAUCAGCCACACUGGGACUGAGACACGGCCCAGACUCCUCCGGGAGGCAGCAGUGGGGAAUAUUGGACAAUGGGGGCAACCCUGAUCCAGCCAUGCCGCGUGAGUGAUGAAGGCCUUAGGGUUGUAAAGCUCUUUCGCCGGUGAAGAUAAUGACGGUAACCGGAGAAGAAGCCCCGGCUAACUUCGUGCCAGCAGCCGCCGUAAUAC